UCUCCGUUGGUGAACCAGCGGAGGGAUCAUUGCUGGAACAAACGCCCUCACGGGCGCCACCCAGAAACCCUUUGUGAACCUAUAAAAAAAGUGUUGCCUCGGCACUGGUUGCUUCUAUCGAAGCCCUGGCCCCCAUGCCAGGAGCCGACCGGCCGGCGCUCCCCUAUAAACUCUUGUUUCCUAGUAAAAUCCUCUGAGUAACAAAACAACUAAAUGAAUCAAAACUUUCAACAACGGAUCUCUUGGUUCUGGCAUCGAUGAAGAACGCAGC
rnacentral:misc_RNA from 1 species